rnacentral:rRNA from 1 species
CCGGUAAACGGCGGCCGUAACUAUAACGGUCCUAAGGUAGCGAAAUUCCUUGUCGGGUAAGUUCCGACCUGCACGAAUGGCGUAAUGAUGGCCAGGCUGUCUCCACCCGAGACUCAGUGAAAUUGAACUCGCUGUGAAGAUGCAGUGUACCCGCGGCAAGACGGAAAGACCCCGUGAACCUUUACUAUAGCUUGACACUGAACAUUGAGCCUUGAUGUGUAGGAUAGGUGGGAGGCUUUGAAGUGUGGACGCCAGUCUGCAUGGAGCCGACCUUGAAAUACCACCCUUUAAUGUUUGAUGUUCUAACGUGGACCCGUAAUCCGGGUUGCGGACAGUGUCUGGUGGGUAGUUUGACUGGGGCGGUCUCCUCCUAAAGAGUAACGGAGGAGCACGAAGGUUGGCUAAUCCUGGUCGGACAUCAGGAGGUUAGUGCAAUGGCAUAAGCCAGCUUGACUGCGAGCGUGACGGCGCGAGCAGGUGCGAAAGCAGGUCAUAGUGAUCCGGUGGUUCUGAAUGGAAGGGCCAUCGCUCAACGGAUAAAAGGUACUCCGGGGAUAACAGGCUGAUACCGCCCAAGAGUUCAUAUCGACGGCGGUGUUUGGCACCUCGAUGUCGGCUCAUCACAUCCUGGGGCUGAAGUAGGUCCCAAGGGUAUGGCUGUUCGCCAUUUAAAGUGGUACGCGAGCUGGGUUUAGAACGUCGUGAGACAGUUCGGUCCCUAUCUGCCGUGGGCGCUGGAGAACUGAGGGGGGCUGCUCCUAGUACGAGAGGACCGGAGUGGACGCAUCACUGGUGUUCGGGUUGUCAUGCCAAUGGCACU